rnacentral:lncRNA from 1 species
UGGAAGUAAGGCUGUAAUGAUGGAAGUCCAGUUGGAGAGGAAGCAAAUGUCUCUGCUCUCUUUUUAAGUGCUCUCCCUGACUACGUUCUGCUAUAAUGAAAGAGAAAUCAGGAUGCUGAGCUCUAGCACCCAUGGCUUCUUAGUCACCCUUUAUCAUACACAACCUGUUACAGUUAUGUUUGAUUUUUCAGUACCCAAGAACUAAAUUCUAAAAUAAAUAUGGUAGACUGAGUGUCUUCCAGACUUAGCCUAUGGGAAGAAAAUAAGUUAUACAUUAGAGGAGUUGUGACAGAUUAUAAAUUGUAAAUAAUGAUUAGAUCAUAUUAAUUUUGUAUUCAUGAGCUUUCAGGUUAUUUUAUAGCAUUUUUCUCUCUGUGCAUUCUAUAGCCUCUAUAUGUAACAGCAACAAACUUCAAUAUGGUGAAUGACAUAAUCAGCAAGUUACUACCAAUGAUAAGAAAGCAUAACAUUGAAGAUUACCAACUGUGGUUCUGUCCUGGCCCUGGGAAAGCUCCAAGAGUACUCCAAGGGCAUGAGUAUCCACAUGACAUUAGAAUGAUAAAUAUUCAAAAGAACUUCAUUUCACGGGACUUAAGAAAUUUUACAGCUUUCCCUUCCCUACCUGGGGUAAUCAUGAAAUACCUAAACGCUGAUAUACAUGGGAAAUUCAUCUUGAAGCCCAGAAACUCAGCAAGAAGCCAGCAGCAAAAAAGUGAGUCUGCCAUCUUCCUUCAGGUGGCUUUUCUUAGUUCCCAUUUUAAUUUGUCACAAAAUAUCACAGCAUACUAUCAUUU